UUACGACCAUAUCACCUUGAAACACCCGUUCCCGUACGCUGUUCGAAGUUACGCACCAUCAAGCCUGGUCAGUAUUUAGAUGGGUGACCGCUUGGGAAGU